ensembl:lincRNA Gm16755 predicted gene, 16755
ACAGUAGGUCCAUCCUGUCCCUCUCAGGAGACUUCGGACACUCGAGUCACUAGCUGUUGCUCCCACCACAGCAGCUGGGAGUGAAUCGGGGUGAGCAGGCUUUGCCCGGAUCCCAGAACUCUAGUCCGCUUUGCCUCUGUCAGGCGGACGGUGAAGUGUGUCCGCUCUUUCUGUUUGGGGACGUCUUCCUCCUCGGCCGCCUUAGGGUGUGGAAACAAAGAUGAGCCACACCAGGCAGAUCUUUCACAGGACCUCUCCCCGGAACAAGACAUACUCUGUGCCUCCCUUUGCCAUCCUCUACGGUGGUGUCCCUGUGUGCUUUUGGAAUUUGUGAGACAGAGUCUACUCUGUGUAGCCCUGGAUAUCCUGGAACUUGCCCUGUAGACCAGGCUGGCCUCAACUCAGAUCUGCCUGCUUCUGCCUCCAGAGUGCUGGGAUUAAAGGUGUGCAUCGCUACUGCCCGGCUCAUUUUACAUCUCUUAAAGAUUGUAAUUGAUGGGGCUGGGUAGAUGUUUGUCUUGCAAGUUUGAGGAUCUGAAGUGGAUCCCUGGAGCCCAUGAAAAAGAAAUGAGGCACAGUAGCUUGUGCCUGUGACCCAGCACUGACAAGGAACACUACAGGACCCAAGGGCCCACUGGCUACCCAGCCUAGCCUUAUCAACAAGUUCCAGGCCGAGGGAAAGAACGUGUCUAAAAAUGAGGAUGUGUGCCACCACUGCCUGGCUUCUCCCACUCAAAAUUUAAAUAUCCCUUGGAGGGCUGGAGAGAUGGCUCAGUGGUUAAAAGCACCGGACUGCUCUUCCGAAGGUCGUGAGUUCAAAUCCCAGCAACCACAUGGUGGCUUACAACCAUCCUUAAUGAGAUCUGACUCCCUCUUCUGGAAAUGUCUGAAGACAGCUACAGUGUACUUACAUAUAAUAAAUAAAUAAAUCUUU